GCAUCUUUAAUUUAUUCUUAGUUUAUUUACCGUAAUUCGCGAUCGGUACCGGGAAGUGUUUGUUUUUUUUCAUGUGGAAGUGUUUGUGUGAAUGUGUGUUUUAUAAAAUAUGAAAGUAUGCAAUGGAAUGCAUAAGAGCGAAGUGCUAUUUAUUUGCAAUAAGUGUGUAAUAUAUGUUAAUGUUUGUCACAUCAAUUCCUUAAAAUGAAGCGCAAGAUGUGUUCUAUGUCUUCAAAGACGAAACCACUACUAAAAAUCUGUUGUUGCUGUCGUGCAGGAAGCCUCGUCUUGACUUGGCCAAGAGGAAACUGACGAUUAUAGCCCAAGUAAGAGAGGCGACCGGAAGAACUUCAUUGCUUGUCAUCUGCUAGGAGUUUGUUUUUCUUACUCCACCCUUUUGUUUUUCCUGCAGGUAAGUUUUUUUUCUGCUU